rnacentral:rRNA from 1 species
AGUAACGCGUAGGAACCUGUCGUUGAGUGGGGGAUAACGCUGGGAAACCGGCGCUAAUACCGCAUGUGGUUGGUGUGAGAGAUUGCGCCAAAGAAAGGCUACUUGUAGUCGCUCGAUGAGGGGCCUGCGUCCGAUUAGCUAGUUGGUGGGUAAAGGCCUACCAAGGCGUCGAUCGGUAGCUGGUCUGAGAGGAUGGUCAGCCACACUGGGACUGAGAACGGCCCAG